CAUCCUGUGGCUGACCCUUAAAUAGCUGUCAGCUGAGGCUGAACAUUAUGCAGCUCUCAUUUGGCUCUGGACACUUGAACAAUCUAGUGUUGGAAAUAUGCAUUGAGCCCUCAGCUGCCAUUCGUUGUUUUAAUAAACUAUCAGCAUCUUCAAUGUGUUGAAGAAGCAAUCCAUCACUUCAGUAUGACCUAGUGCGUUGUCCAGGUGUUUUAAGUGCCAAUCUUGAUAAAGGUCCUUAUAUGGACCGAAACGUCGAUGAAAAACGGCAUCAACAGUGAACCUGAUUAAAAUAAAUUGAACCUACAAGUGAUUUCAGAGACUGAUUUCUGGGCGUGAGUGCACCUUCCACCUAGGUGGUAGUUGCGGUAUAUUGGUGGCCUAUUUGGUCAUUAGGAGCACCCGCCG